GCCAGCGUGGCGGAGUGGUCUAACGCGUCGGUCUCGAAAACCGAUUCCUUAACAGGAGCAGAGGUUCGAAUCCUCUCGCUGGCG
rnacentral:tRNA from 1 species